UACGGAGGGUGCAACCGUUGCUCGGAAUCAUUGGGCGUAAAGCGCACGUAGGCGGCCCGGCAAGUCGGAUGUGAAAGCCCUCGGCUCAACCGAGGAAGUGCAUUCGAAACUGCUGGACUUGAAUAUGGAAGAGGGUCGCGGAAUUCCCGGUGUAGAGGUGAAAUUCGUAGAUAUCGGGAGGAACACCAGUGGCGAAGGCGGCGACCUGGGCCAAUAUUGACGCUGAGGUGCGAAAGCGUGGGGAGCAAACAGG
rnacentral:rRNA from 1 species